rnacentral:rRNA from 1 species
UACGGAGGGUGCGAGCGUUAAUCGGAAUUACUGGGCGUAAAGCGCACGCAGGCGGCUUGUUAAGCUAGAGGUGAAAGCCCCGCGCUCAACGUGGGAACUGCCUUUAGAACUGGCAGGCUAGAGUCUUGGAGAGGGGAGUGGAAUUCCAGGUGUAGCGGUGAAAUGCGUAGAUAUCUGAGAGACAUAGUGGAGAGCGGCUCCCUGGCCAAAAGACUGACGCUCAUGUGCGAAAGUGUGGGUA